AACGAACGCUGGCGGCAGGCCUAACACAUGCAAGUCGAACGCUCCAGCAAUGGAGAGUGGCAGACGGGUGAGUAACGCGUGGGAACCUACCCUUUGGUUCGGAAUAGCCCAGGGAAACUUGGGGUAAUACCGGAUAAGCCCUUCGGGGGAAAGAUUUAUCGCCAAUGGAUGGGCCCGCGUCGGAUUAGCUAGUUGGUGGGGUAACGGCCUACCAAGGCGACGAUCCGUAGCUGGUCUGAGAGGAUGAUCAGCCACACUGGGACUGAGACACGGCCCAGACUCCUACGGGAGGCAGCAGUGGGGAAUAUUGGACAAUGGGCGCAAGCCUGAUCCAGCCAUGCCGCGUGAGUGACGAAGGUCUUCGGAUUGUAAAGCUCUUUUGGCGGGGAAGAUAAUGACGGUACCCGCAGAAUAAGCCCCGGCUAACUUCGUGCCAGCCGCCGCCGUAAGAC
rnacentral:rRNA from 1 species